rnacentral:rRNA from 1 species
UACAGAGGUCUCAAGCGUUGUUCGGAUUCAUUGGGCGUAAAGGGUGUGUAGGUGGCGCCGUAAGUCGGGUGUGAAAUUUCGGAGCUUAACUCCGAAACUGCAUUCGAUACUGCGGUGCUUGAGGACUGGAGAGGAGACUGGAAUUCUCGGUGUAGCAGUGAAAUGCGUAGAUAUCGAGAGGAACACCAGUGGCGAAGGCGAGUCCCUGGACAACUCCUGACACUGAGGCACGAAAGCUAGGGGAGCAAACAGG